rnacentral:tRNA from 1 species
GCCGGUUUAGCUCAGUUGGUCAGAGCAAUCGCCUUGUAAGCGAUAGGUCAUCGGUUCGAAUCCGAUAACCGGCUC